CCUACGGGUUGCAGCAGUGGGGAAUAUUGCGCAAUGGGCGAAAGCCUGACGCAGCGACGCCGCGUGGGGGAUGACGGCCUUCGGGUUGUAAACCUCUUUCAGCAGGGACGAAGCGAAAGUGACGGUACCUGCAGAAGAAGCACCGGCCAACUACGUGCCAGCAGCCGCGGUAAUACGUAGGGUGCAAGCGUUGUCCGGAAUUAUUGGGCGUAAAGAGCACGUAGGCGGUUUGUUGCGUCGGCUGUGAAAUCCCGAGGCUCGACCUCGGGUCUGCAGUCGAUACGAGCAAACUAGAGUGUUGCAGGGGAGACUGGAAUUCCUGGUGUAGCGGUGAAAUGCGCAGAUAUCAGGAGGAGCACCGGUGGCGAAGGCGGGUCUCUGGGCAACAACUGACGCUGAGGAGCGAAAGCGUGGGGAGCGAACAGGAUUAGAUACCCCCGUAGUC
rnacentral:rRNA from 1 species